rnacentral:rRNA from 1 species
AAUUUAGUGGUUUUCGCCCUAAAAACUUAUUUUAAAUAUAAACCCUAAGAGAAGUUUUUUAAUAAACGAAGUGAAUUGAAAUAUCUUAGUAACUUCAGGAAAAGAAAUCAAAAGAGAUUCUAUAAGUAGCGUGAGUGAAAGUAGAGGAGCCUAUUUAAUAAUAAGUAAAAUGGUUUAGAAACUGUUUGAAUUUAUUGCCUGAUCCCUGUAAGGGAAAGGGCCCGGGGAACCUUCCUCAAAGGCUAAAUAUAAUACAUAAGCGAUAGUGAAUAGUAUCGUGAGAUAAUGAUUAGAAUUAGUAGUUUUAUAAGCAGUUCGAGCUAAAGUGAGAACGUACCUUUUGCAUAAUGGGUCACCAAGUUAACAUUAGAUGCGAGUGAAAGCGUAGGUAAACCAAUCGUUAAAAUAACGAAUAGUGUCUAAAGUUAGACCCGAAGCCUGGUGAUUUUACCAUAAUCAGGAUUAUAAAAGUCCGAACGGGUUAUCGUUGUAAAGAUAUCCGAAGAAUUAUGGUAGGUAGUGAAAGACAACACUGACUAGGAUAGCUGGUUUUCUGCGAAACCUAUAACAGUAGGCAAUUUGAGUAACAUCUUAGCAGGUACAGAAUUUAAUCUCAGACAAGAUGUUCUAAUUUUAGUUCGGCGACGAACUAAAACAACAUGUUGAUUUGUAUAUAUCGGGGGAUCGUGAAGAUUUUAUCGGUGAGUAUGUAGACUCGGAAUGGCAAAGAUGGAUCUUGAAUUAUCAGACAUAGAAUGAUAAGGUUGUAUGUCAAAAGGGAAACAGCCCAGAACAAGAGUUAAGGUUCCAAAAUUAUUAGUUAAGUGAAAUUAAGAAGGUUAUUAUUAAAGUCGACAAGGAGAUGGGCUUAGAAGCAGCCAAAUUUUGAAGACCUCGUAACAGAGCGCUUGUUAAGUUUUAAAAGCAUCGAAAAUUUAACGGAUCUAAACAAUAUACCGACACCUUGUCCAUAUUUUACUAUAUAUAUUAUUGUAAUUUAGUGGGGUAGCAGAACGUUGAAUUAAAUUAGGAUAUUUCUUCUGUGAAGAAAUAUAUAACAAACAAUUCAAGUGAGAAUGGUGACAUGAGUAACGAAUAAGAAGGACAUUUUACCGAAAAAGCCUAGUAAAUCUCUACGUACCAUAAUUAUGGUAAAUAGGGAUUCCCUCCCUUUGGGAGUUACUAGGUACUUGAGUAAGUACUAAAUCCUCCGCCUAAAGCUUAUGGAUGGAAAAAUAUGCCCCUUAAAGUAACGGCCUCUAAGUUAUAAAUCUAAAGGUUUAAACGAUGAGAAAAUCUUUUUUACUAAAUGACAACACUUACAAGUGAUAAGUGUGCUGGAAAAAAUAGUAAUAUAUUUUGUUAAGUAUAUGCAAUAAACUAAAAAGAUGAGUAUAGAAAGAUAAGAUGAAAAAAUAACCGUACCUAGAAACUAAAACAAGUAAGCUAGUAGAGAAUACGAAGGCGUAAAUGAGCUAACAAUCAUAAAGGAACUCGGCAAACUAACUACCGUAACUUCGGGAUAAGGAGAGCUCAUUAGUCCUGAUUAAUAUCGGGUAAAAAGGAAGAAGCAUAAAAUAGUGUUGUACGACUGUUUAAUUAAAACACAGCACUUUGCUAAAAGAUUAAAAAUCGAAGUAUUGAGUGUGAUGUCUGCCCGAUGCCGGCUGGUUAACGAAUUUAACUAAAUUGAUCAAUAAAUUUGGUGUUGAAGGAACCCCCGGUUAAUGGCGGCCUUAACGUGAGGGUCCUAAGGUAGCGAAAUGCCUUGGCCGUUAAAUGCGGUCUUGCAUGAAUGAUGUAACGAUACAACAGCUGUCUCUAUGAUUGACUCAGUGAAAUUGGAAUAACUGUGCAGAUACAGUUUACCUCUAGUUAGACGAGAAGACCCUAUGCAGCUUUACUGUUACUAAUUAUAGGGUAUGAUGAAUUAACUUUCAGAUUAUAAGGUACAUUGAUUCAAUAAAAAUGAAAAUCCUUUAUUUUCACGUCAUACUUCAGAAUUAAUUUUGGAAAUUCACCUGGCUGGAAUGGCGACUUCGUCAUUUAGGCGGGAGUGAAAGAAAAGAUUAACCUAGUCUGACAUAUAAGUAGCCUUAGGUAAGGAAUAUAUUGUUAGGAGACAGUUUAUGUGGGGCACAGACCCCUUAAAGAGUAAAAGGGAGUGUCUAAAAUUUAUUUGUUAUAAAAUUUAUAACGUUGUUUGUGGUUUUAUGUAGUUUUACUAUAUUUAAUCUUAUGAAAUUCACUUUAUCUACCCUUGUUGUAGAUACGGAUGGAUCUAAGGUACGAUUUUCACUAUGGUGAAAGUAGCGGUAUAGAAAAAAAUAUUAUGAAUAACGACGACGUCGCUAUUCUAAUGUUUUUGGAGUUAUUAAGGUGACUGGUCGGAAAAUCUCCUCCCCGCUCUUAAUAAUAAUGAUAAAUACUUGAAAAGCUCAACGGCUAAUUCGUGCCAUACUGUUUGAUUAACAACAAAUCUUACAGUUGCGUAAGCAGGGCAUAGGAUCACAAGAUGCAAAAAGGAAAGAUCUUGGAUUAUUGGAAAAGCUACGCUAGGGAUAACAGGCUAAUUUGCGCAAGAGUGUACAAAAUGAGUGCGCGGUUUGGCACCUCGAUGUCGGCUUAACUUAUCCUCAUGGAUGCAGAAACUAUGUAGGGUACGACUGUUCGUCGAUUAAAAAGUUACAUGAGCUGGGUUAAAUACGUCGUGAGACAGUAUGGUUUCUAUCUUCUAGAGGGAAUUUGAAUAAAAUAAGGAUUAACCUUUGUACGAAAGGAACAGGAAAAACUUAACCCAAAAGGUUAGGUUAUAUUAAUUGUUAACCUCUGGUUUACCUGUUGUUUAUAAGCCCAAUAUUAAUUUAUUCUAAAAAUUUAUGAUUUUUAUAAGGGAUGUUACUUACACUAAAGUAAAUAUAUAUUAUAGGCACGGCAGGAAAGCUAAGUUAGUUAAAGAUAAGUGCUGAAAGCAUAUAGGCACGAAGCUUACCUUAAGAUAUUUCUAAUUCACGUAAUAUACUAUUACGGCAUAAUAUUAUUAUUAUUGCAAUAGGCUUUGUUUGUAAUGAUCUAGAGAUCUUAAGA